AUGCUUGCUUGUGUGCACAUAUAUUAAAAUUGGAAUGAUACAGAGAAGGUUAGCACAGCCCCUGUGCAAGAAAAAUAUGCAAAUUCAUGAAGCAUUCCAUAUUUUA